rnacentral:rRNA from 1 species
UAGGGAAUCUUCCGCAAUGGACGAAAGUCUGACGGAGCAACGCCGCGUGAGUGAAGAAGGAUUUCGGUUCGUAAAACUCUGUUGUUAGGGAAGAAAAAAUGUAUAGUAACUAUAUACAAAAGAGACGGUACCUAACCAGAAAGCCACGGCUAACUACGUGCCAGCAGCCGCGGUAAUACGUAGGUGGCAAGCGUUGUCCGGAAUUAUUGGGCGUAAAGCGCGCGCAGGUGGUUUAGAAAGUCUGAUGUGAAAGCCCACGGCUAAACCGUGGAGGGUCAUUGGAAACUAAUAAACUUGAGUGCAGGAGAGAAAAGUGGAAUUCCUAGUGUAGCGGUGAAAUGCGUAGAGAUUAGGAGGAACACCGGUGGCGAAAGCGGCUUUUUGGCCUGCAACUGACACUGAGGCGCGAAAGCGUGGGGAGCAAACAGG